AUGACACCUCACCACAAUUCUACAACGCAAUCAAAAUCUUGGAUUAUUGAUACAGGAGCUACCAAUCACAUGACAGGAGCUUCAAAUAUAUUCACUUCCUAUACACCUUGUUCAGGUAAGGACAAAGUACGUGUAGCUGAUGGAUCCAUGGCACCUAUCACAGGACAUGGAUCUGUUAGGUGCACUAAGACAUUGUCCUUAUCUCAUGUCUUACAUGUUCCUAAAUUUCCAAUCAAUCUCUUGUCAGUUAGCUCUAUUACUGAAUCUCUCAAUUGCAGAGGUCUGUUUUAUCCUAGUUGUUGUGCUUUUCAAGAGCUAGAGACAGGCAGAUUGUUGGGGACUGGGACCGUGCAUGAUGGACUCUACUAUCUUGAUGAAGGGAGUGAUGAAGUUGCUUUUGCAUCAUGCUUCUUGUCUCCUAGUCAAGAGCUACUACUACACCAUCGCAGGCUUGGGCAUCUCUCUUUUGCUGCAUUAUUUCGUAUUUACCCUUCUCUUUUCAAGUUGUGUCCUAGGGAGCUGCUUGUAUGUGAUGCUUGUGAAUUGGCUAAACAUACAAGAGGUUCAUAUCCUAGUAUAGGAUUAAGAAGUGCCAAACCAUUUGAAAUGAUUCACUCGGAUGUUUGGGGACCCUGUGAGGUUCGUUCGAUUUCUGGGCAUCGAUGGUUUGUAACUUUUAUCGAUUGCUUUAGUUGUUACACUUGGCUCUAUCUCUUGAAGCAUAAGAGUGAUGUGUGCUCAGUUUUUAAAGAUCUAUGCGCUCUCAUUAAAAAUAAACAUGGGGCAACUAUUAAAACCUUAUGUUCAGAUAAUGGUACAUAA
rnacentral:rRNA from 1 species